UAGCUAUUCCAGUUGACGCCAUUUUGAUCUUAAAAUAGUAACAACCGGAAGCACUGGGUAGCCAUUACUGCGUGCGAUUUGUGGAAGGAUAUUGGAUCCUAUAGUUAAAUCGUGAAGUUUACAAAUUACAGACAUAGCAGUGACACAGUGAGAAAUUUACAGAGUGACAAAGUGACUGAAAUUUCCAUAGAAGGUUGUGUACUGGGAUGAUAUAGAUUGGAAGAAUGACAGUGAGUUUCAGUUAACUGAGAGAGAUCAGAGCUGAAGAUUAUUUACUAUUUGAGAAAAAGACUAUAGAAGGUAUGAAGUAAGAGUUAUCUUUCAUUAUAAGACUUACUCCUUCAAUAAUGAGAUUGAGUUACUGCCCUUUGGA